ACACGUCCUACGUGGCUCCUCACAGAGCUCUCCUUUAGAUUUCCACCAAAAGGAAGCCAUACAAUUGACCAGGCUAAUUCUGCAUUUAAGAAGAAACUCAAAGGUAUCAUCUAGUAGAAUACCCUAUCAAUCUUCAGAUAUAUUGAAAGAGGAAAAGAAAUGGCUUCAACCUCUGCUGCAUUGGUAAGUGGAUUGGGAUCUACAUUCUUGACUGGUGGCAACAAGAGCCAGGCCUUGUUAUCUGUCCUGGUUACUGCCAGAGUGGGCGGUGCUCUCGCUCCCAAGAGGUUCUUUGUGGUGGCUGCCGCCCCCAAGA
rnacentral:lncRNA from 1 species